rnacentral:rRNA from 1 species
UACAGAGGUCUCAAGCGUUGUUCGGAUUCAUUGGGCGUAAAGGGUGCGUAGGCGGCGCGGUAAGUCGGGUGUGAAAUCUUGGAGCUUAACUCCGAAACUGCAUUCGAUACUGCCGUGCUUGAGGACUGGAGAGGAGACUGGAAUUUACGGUGUAGCGGUGAAAUGCGUAGAUAUCUGGAGGAACACCGGUGGCGAAGGCGGCAUCCUGGACCGGUAUUGACGCUGAGGCGCGAAAGCUAGGGGAGCAAACGGG